rnacentral:antisense_RNA from 1 species
CUAGAGCUCGGAGGCUGCUGGUAGGGGGUGCUUGUAGACAUGGAAGAAGGCCUCACCUUCUCCAUGGCUGACAACUGAGAAGGCUGGUCUGACUUGGAAGAGGCUGUGUGGCCAACAGCCAAUUGGCUGUAUCACAUGGGCACCACUUUCAGAUAAAAACAUAGACCUGAAUGGCAUCAUCCAGUAUCCAAGGAAACCAUUGUGUCUGUAACCAGCUAAUGAGCUGCAACAGAGCCUGGCCUUCAUUUUCAGCAAAUUAAGUUCAUCCCUCAUAGGAAUUGUGGUCUGGCUGUGGCACCGCUCCUAGGUAUGGGUGGGAUUUGUUUCUUCUACCAGUUGUAGGUUAGCCACAUGGGUACGUGCUGUCGCACCACACAACAAAAUUUUCUCUAUAAUAACCAGUUUAAGUAGGCUUUUACCCCACAAAAGUAGAUCCCAUUUAAUUUACUUUGUGUUUAUAGCACUCCCUCUCAAACCGCACCA